UCACUAUAAAUACACCAAAAAAUACUAAGUAAAUUUUAAUCAAAAACUAGCCCUUUCAUCUGCGCUUGCGCCCUUGGACUUGAGAAGAUACGCGCGAUUUUACUUCGGUCAGAGACGGUUGGUUCAGAGAAUGUAGAAGUGCUCUGGUUGGGUUGAACAGCAUCCAUAUGUUAUCUCUGGUGAGUUUUACCUUUCUUUUUAAAAUGUGUAAUAAUAUAUGGGUCAUUUUGUUAGCUUCUUGUUUGCUUGUAUACUAUUCACAGCGAAAUUAGGCUAGACAUAAGUGAUUUAUCUGUGCUAGCUGUAAUUGUUAGUUCUAGAUAGCUACAGUAGCUACAGUAGUUAGCUAGCUAACAUACGUAGCUAACAAUGCAGGAAAGCUCCGCUAUAUAUUUAACUUCUAUAAAAACGUAAGGCACAAAAGUGUAGAGGGAGAUUAUUCACAAGCAGAAAAAAGCAAUUGUUGCUAGCUUUAACUAGCUAGCUGCACAUGGCAAACCAUCGCUAUCAACGUUCUGGAAAAAAUAAUCAUGUCAGGUUAACUUAAAUUUAGCCAUCAAUGUAUCUCUAAUUUAGUAUUUCAAGAUGCCUACUUUAGUGGAUGAGUUAUGUAAAUGUCACUUGAAUGAAUUUACAACAUGCUGACCAAACCAGGGUAUAUACUGGAAUAUAGCUAACUAGUUCAUCUAACCUUUCUGCACUCGGUAGCACGUGUCAGCAGCAUGAUUGCCAGUUCCUUGUGCUACCAGUCAGCAGCAGGAUUGCCAGUUCCAGCAAACAUUUCCAGCCCAAAGAGUGCUCAAAACCAGCCCAAAAUGCCUGAAAACUAGCCCAUUAAUUUUUGGGUGUACAAGUGUACAAGUUAAACAUUUAUCCCCAAAAAUUAUAAUGUAAAAAUAACUGGUGGAUUAAUAUUUUCCUUAUUUUCUGCUAUUCUCUCUUUUUUCGUACAUUGGCUAUUCUUUAAGAGCACUUGAUAAGGAGACUGACAGUAAUUUAACAUGUUUCUAUCAACAGUAAUCAGUGAGUUGGAAGGGAUAGGUCAGAGGAGUGAUUGGCUGUAACAUUAGUAGGCAAGUAGAAAUCUGUAUUUAUGAAACAAUAUUACUGUUUAUCUUCAAUGAAAUGAUAAUUUUUUUAAUAUCACAAAUUGUGUGUUCUUUUACAGGGUGACCUUACGGUUAGGACGGGUCCAGGGAGGAAGUCCAUUAGAUGGAUGUCAUCAGUGAGAAACCGUAGGCAUACUAUGAGAUGGUCAUGCAAAAAUUGCGAAUUUAGGGCAUCAAAACGUUUAGAGCUUUUAAAGCAUUAUAGAUUGAAACAUCUACACACCGGUCAGGGCCGGUCACUACCCUGCUUGUACUCUGAUUGUCCUUGUUCAUUUAAAGGAUGGGGUGCACUUCGCACACAUUUGUCUAGAGAUCAUACACCAACUGAACAGUUUGAGCAGAUAGUUUCAUUUUCAUGUCUUGUAUGCCAUUUAUCUAGUUUUCACACAGAGAGGCAAUAUUUUGAACAUCUCGGAGCUCACCUGAAAAAGCACGAAACUCUUCAUUGUGUCUUUAAAGAUUGUGACUACAGUACUAAUAUAUAUUCAACUUUUGCUUCACAUAAAAGUAGAAAGCACAAUCCUCACUGCCUUGAUGAUUUUAAACAUACUGUACUUUCGACAUAUUCAAGUCAGGCUACAGAGGAUAGUAGUGUGUUGGUAGAAGAGCGUGAAGUUACUUCAAAUGAAACGCUUGUCAGAGAGGAUGACGAUUUAGUUAAAGUCAUUGUUGAUAAGCUUGGUUCCUUGUUGCUUAAAUUAGAAUGCAUCUUCAAUGUGCCUAGUAGAUGUAUAGAUGACAUUGCAGAGGAGCUUCAAUUUAUUACUUGUUCAGCAUCCUCACCCAUUAUCAAAAACAUUGUCCAUACUACAUUUGAAAACCAUAACUGCGCUGUUGAAGAAUUGGUGAUCACAGAAUUGGUGAAUAGCAUUUGCCAAUUGAAUCCUGUAAGUGCAGCCUUUAGUGAAGAAGGUCCUCUUGGCACAGCAUACCAGAGAAACAAGUACUUGAAAGAACGUUUCUCUAUUGUUGAACCGUUAGAGUAUAUAUUAGAUGCAAAAGAGGGAAGGACUUUUCAAUAUGUACCAAUUUUGCAAUCCUUGUCACAAGUUCUGAAAAAUGUUGACAUUCAGGAGAAGCUGUUAAAGACUGCAAGACGUUGUGGUUCUUCAUGUCAGUAUACAAGUUUUCAUGAUGGUUCCCACUUCAAAGAAAACAGCUUUCUAUCUGGAGAGGAGUUAAGACUUUCAAUUUUACUCUACUGUGAUGAUUUUGAAAUAUGUAAUCCAUUAGGAACCUCUCGUAAGAAGCACAAGGUAACAGGUGUCUACUGGGUGUUGGCUGAUAUUCCAUCUGUAUUAAGGUCAACAUUAUCUUCCAUUUACUUAGCUGUUUUGUGCAAGGCAGACGACGUAAAGAAAUUUGGCUAUCCUCAAGUGCUAGAGCCAUUAUUAAGUGAUUUGAAAAGCUUAGAAGAGGAUGGUCUUUUUGUACCCUGUUUGGGAAAAAUCAUAAAGGGCACUGUAUUUUCUGUGAUUGCCGAUAACCUUGGUGCCCACUCAGUCGGGGGGUUUGUUGAAAGUUUCAGUGGGUCAUACAAUUGCAGAUUUUGUGUCGGACAGCGGUCCCAGUUUCAGGAACUUGAAGUCAGGACAGGAGCAUUCCUUGGUAGAACAAAACAGCAACACCAGUUGGAUGUUGAAGCAGCAUUGGCUAGUAACACCCAUAGCCAUGGAGUUAAAAGGCAUUGUGCAAUUACUCAAAGGUUAAAGCAUUUUCAUGUGACAACAGGUUACCCACCGGAUGUAUUACAUGAUUUACUUGAGGGUAUUGUACCUGUAGAAUUGGCAUUGUGUUUAGAUAUCUUGAUCAAAAAAAAAUAUUUCUCUCUUGAAGAGCUCAAUAGUAUCAUCAAGAAGUUCCCAUAUAAGUGGAAAGACAGAACAAAUUGUCCGAUACGUAUACCACCAACCUUUUCCUCUCGUAACACCAUUGGUGGUAACGCACAUGAAAAUUGGUGCUUACUGAGGUUGCUUCCACUUAUGAUUGGCUCUAAAGUACAGGAAGAGGAACAGACAUGGCAGUUGUUGAUGACACUCAAAGAUGUUGUUGAGUUGGUUAUGUCACCUACCCACACAGAUGAAAGCAUUGGUCACCUAGAUAGCCUUAUUGCUGAGCAUCGGCGUAGAUUUAGCAGUGUUUUUCCACAAAGAAAAUUGAUUCCAAAACACCAUUUUGUAGAGCAUUACCCGCAGCUCAUUAAAGCAUUCGGCCCAUUAGUGUCCUUAUGGACGAUGAGGUUCGAAGCCAAACACCGCUUCUUUAAGAAGAUAGUGAGACAGACAAGCUGUUUCCGUAACAUUUUAAAGUCUAUGGCAAAAAAACACCAGUCCAUGAUUGCAUACCAUCUCCAUGGUUCAAAUGUCAAUAAACCUGCUGUCUCUGUAUCAAAGAUGUCAAGGGUUCCAUUAGAGAUUGUAAAUGAGAACAUACAAGAAUUUCUAUCACAGAAAUUUCCUGAAGAGACAGUUGUUCAUUUGACAAACAAGGUAGAAUCUCAGGGCAUCAGUUACAGUAUUGGCAUGAUGUUGGUCUAUGGCAACACUGGUGGGUUACCAGACUUUGCUGAAAUACUACAAAUCAUGAUAGUUUGUAACAGUGUUGUGUUUGUAGUGAAAAUGCAAAGUACAUGGUACACUGAGCAUUUUAGAUGUUUCAAGGUGGAGUCCACGAGCAUUGUGAAAGUAAUUCAUCAAUCACAACUCACUGACAUGUACCCACUUGCUACAUAUACAAUCGAAGGCUGUCGAAUGGUUUCUUUGAAACACUACAUCUGCUUGUCAAACUAGGUAAAGUUUCACUAUAAACAAAAGUUUUCAUGAAUACUGCAAUCAUAUGCUCUAGCCAUGUCUUUUUUUCCUCUUGCAGUUCUGCUUUCCCAAGGCUGUGAUGUCUAACCCCAGUCAACUACGUGUCAUUAUUGAAGAGACUGAAAUUCACAAAUUAAUCCUACCAGAUGGAAUUCCUAGUACCUUAGACGAACUUUUGGCAGCUGCGAAGCAUAAUUUUGAUCUUGAAGGGAGUUAUGCAGUAAUGCAUAUGGACAAAGAUUUUGAUAACCAAUUCUUUACGUUAACAUCUACAGAUGUGGUCAACGACAAAGACACUAUAAAACUAGUGAAAACAGAUCCUUCUAUUAUUCUCACAUUGAGUCCCAUCAAUGAGCCUGCUGCUUCUUCUUCUCCAGUGCCACUUUCUUUCCAGGAUGACAGUUCCUCAGUUAGUUCAUCCGAUACCUUGAUGUUACCACUGUCCCCAGACUACAGAUCAGAACCGUGGCCAACUACUUUUGUGAUACCCACUUUUUCAUAUAAUGUCGAAAUCCCCCUUCAAGCAGGAAACAAGGCUUAUGAAAGUGAUGGCUCACUCCUUCAAAAUCCAAGCAUGAACUCUGACGUACUUGAGAAACUUGCUGAAGCUAUAUUUCAGUACACUGCCUAUCCCACUGGACGUCAAAUACAGGCAGUUGUAGAAUCCCUGUUGGCAAAGCAUCCUUGCCUAAGGGAGCCUGGAACUUCAUAUUCAGGCAUGUACGGGUGGCAGCAGCGUCUUAAAUACAAGAUGGCAAAUUUCCGUUCUAAACUGCGAAGGCGUGAAGUACAUUGUCCUGAACUUGACAUCAACUCAUUGAAAAGGAAAUCUCCUGGGGAGAAAAAUCCAGCCAAAAACUGUAAGAGACCAAAGAGAGCAGAGGUAAACUACCUUCCUCCACAUCCAAGUGGAGAAACUAGCAACACUCUGGAGAUGGAGAGACUGCAGCUUCUUAAUGAGGUAAAGAAGAAGAACAACACUAAGGUGAUAGCAGAAAAAAUGGCCAAAACAUUCUCCUAUCGAAGGCUUGAGGUUGUGAGUGGUAGUCCAGCUGCCGAUGACUUCCAAGAGAGAUGGCCAGCUUUGUUUUGUGAAGCAGAGAUCAAAGAGGAAUUCAGGAGAAUUACUACAAUUUCCCUGGAGCAGAGAUUCAUGCACAAACUGGAUCACUACACACCAAGACUUAUUUCCCUGAUGAAGGCCAAGGGAGGUGUCGUGGGGACCAAGCUGAGGCCGCUCCUGGACAAACUGAGUCAGCACCAAAGCAUUGAAACGAAACGUGAAGCUGUUAUCCGCAGCCUUAUACUGUACCUUGCAGAGAAAGAAGAGGACCUUUUUGAAGAUUGCCAAGAGGACAGCCGCAGUGAUGCCACUCAACACAUCCUGAAGAUCCUUGUUGUUCAUGGUGCUGAUGGAGAGGAUCCAGUGGAUGUGUCCAUCCUUCUUGAAGGCAAGGAGAUGUUGCCAGGAUGCGGGAGUUCUGCUAAAGCUUGCGCGCUGGUCAUGGGGCUGAUUUAUGCCCUCAACCUGGCAUACCCCCCAACACUGCGCUACACUUUUGAAGUUUUUCAAAAACUUUUCCUAGAACUGGAUGGGAUUAAGCUGUCCCCAAAAAUACAAGCUUUCAAAUGUAAGUUGCUGUCUUAAAUGCUACCACCAUGGCAGGUGCAGUCAAUCUUGUUAGAGCUUAUGACAGUUUAGUUAACAUAUUAUACUCUACCACAAAGUUAAGAAUUUAUUAGUUUGAAAUCCAAUAUGUCAGUUACACACAGACAUGAUUUAAAAAGGAAAUCUACGUUUCUUUUUUUAUUUUACCACGCACUGUCAUAAAACACUUUAUUUUUUAUAAACACAUGCAGCUUUAGAGUUCAUCAGGACAUGUGUUGGCUUUUUGAUGAAGUAACAAUCUGUUGAACCACUCCUUACUGUUUGAAUGCAUUCACAAAGCCUGUUGGCAGAAUUUAUUACUUGCAUUCCUAACCCAAAUACAUGCAUUUUCUUUAGUCAUGUAAGCCUUGCAGUUGUUAAAAUGGUCAUGCUAGACACCUGAGUGUUUCACAGACUUCUGAUUUAAGAGUUUUUGGCUUGUACCUUGUGAAUUGAUAGAGCAGUGAUUUGAUAACAUUUAUAAAAAAAUAAAUUUGGACAAAAGAAAAACUGAUUA